rnacentral:rRNA from 1 species
GCCUACGGGGCGCAGCAGUAGGGAAUUUUCGUCAAUGGGCGCAAGCCUGAACGAGCAAUGCCGCGUGAACGAGGAAGGUCUUCGGAUCGUAAAGUUCUGUUGAAGGGGAAAAAGAGCGGAGAGAGGAAAUGGUCUCCGAUUGAUAUUACCCUUCGAGGAAGUCACGGCUAACUACGUGCCAGCAGCCGCGGUAAUACGUAGGUGGCGAGCGUUAUCCGGAAUGAUUGGGUGUAAAGGGAGUGUAGGCGGGAUGGUAAGUUAGGUGUGAAAUGCGGAGGCUCAACCUCCGAGCUGCACUUAAAACU